rnacentral:rRNA from 1 species
UACAGAGGUCUCAAGCGUUGUUCGGAUUCAUUGGGCGUAAAGGGUGUGUAGGCGGCGCCGUAAGUCGGGUGUGAAAUUUCGGAGCUUAACUCCGAAACUGCAUUCGAUACUGCGGUGCUUGAGGACUGGAGAGGAGACUGGAAUUCAUGGUGUAGCAGUGAAAUGCGUAGAGAUCAUGAGGAAGACCAGUGGCGAAGGCAGCCUCCUGGGCCAGCACUGACGCUCAUGCACGAAAGCGUGGGGAGCAAACAGG